rnacentral:tRNA from 4 species
GCGGAUGUGGUGGAAUUGGUAGACACGCCAGGUUUAGGUCCUGGUGCCUUCGGGCGUGGAGGUUCAAGUCCUCUCAUCCGCACCA